rnacentral:rRNA from 1 species
AUUGAACGCUGGCGGCAGGCCUAACACAUGCAAGUCGAACGAGUGGCGGACGGGGGAGUAAUGUCUGGGAAACUGCCUGAAGGAGGGGGAUAACUUCUGGAAACGGUAGUUAAUACCGCAUACCAUCGGAUGUGCACAGAUGGGAUUGGCUAGUAGGUGGGGUAAAGGCUCACCUAGGCGACGAGCCCUAGCUGGUCUGAGAGGAUGACCUGACAAACUGGAACUGAGACACGUUCCAGACUCCUACGGGAGGCAGCAGUGGGGAAUAUUGCACAAUGGGCGCAAGCCUGAUGCAGCCAUGCCGCGUGUAUGAAGAGGGCCUUCGGGUUGUAAAGUACUUUCAGCGGGGAGGCGUUACCCGCAGAAGAAGCACCGGCUAACUCCGUGCCAGCAGCCGCGGUAAUAC